rnacentral:rRNA from 1 species
GUCGAACGGUAACAGGAAGCAGCUUGCUGCUUCGCUGACGAGUGGCGGACGGGUGAGUAAUGUCUGGGAAACUGCCUGAUGGAGGGGGAUAACUACUGGAAACGGUAGCUAAUACCGCAUAACGUCGCAAGACCAAAGAGGGGGACCUUCGGGCCUCUUGCCAUCGGAUGUGCCCAGAUGGGAUUAGCUAGUAGGUGGGGUAACGGCUCACCUAGGCGACGAUCCCUAGCUGGUCUGAGAGGAUGACCAGCCACACUGGAACUGAGACACGGUCCAGACUCCUACGGGAGGCAGCAGUGGGGAAUACUGCACAAUGGGCGCAAGCCUGAUGCAGCCAUGCCGCGUGUAUGAAGAAGGCCUUCGGGUUGUAAAGUACUUUCAGCGGGGAGGAAGGUGUUGAGGUUAAUAACCUCAGCAAUUGACGUUACCCGCAGAAGAAGCACCGGCUAACUCCGUGCCAGCAGCCGCGGUAAUACGGAGGGUGCAAGCGUUAAUCGGAAUUACUGGGCGUAAAGCGCACGCAGGCGGUCUGUCAAGUCGGAUGUGAAAUCCCCGGGCUCAACCUGGGAACUGCAUUCGAAACUGGCAGGCUAGAGUCUUGUAGAGGGGGGUAGAAUUCCAGGUGUAGCGGUGAAAUGCGUAGAGAUCUGGAGGA